GACGAACGCUGGCGGCGUGCUUAACACAUGCAAGUCGAACGGAAAGGCCUCUUUCGGGGGGUACUCGUGUGGCGAACGGGUGAGUAACACGUGAGUAACCUGCCCUUGACUUUGGGAUAACUUCAGGAAACUGGGGCUAAUACCGGAUAGGAGCUCCUGCUGCAUGGUGGGGGUUGGAAAGUUUCGGCGGUUGGGGAUGGACUCGCGGCUUAUCAGCUUGUUGGUGGGGUAGUGGCUUACCAAGGCUUUGACGGGUAGCCGGCCUGAGAGGGUGACCGGCCACAUUGGGACUGAGAUACGGCCCAGACUCCUACGGGAGGCAGCAGUGGGGAAUAUUGCACAAUGGGUGGAAGCCUGAUGCAGCAACGCCGUGUGCGGGAUGACGGCCUUCGGGUUGUAAACCGCUUUCGCUCAUGACGAAGCUUUGUGUGACGGUAGUGGGUAAAGAAGCACCGGCUAACUACGUG
rnacentral:rRNA from 1 species